CCUACGGGUGGCAGCAGUGGGGAAUAUUGGACAAUGGGCGAAAGCCUGAUCCAGCCAUGCCGCGUGUGUGAAGAAGGCCUUCGGGUUGUAAAGCACUUUCAGUGGGGAAGAAAGCCUUGGGGCUAAUACCCUCGAGGAAGGACAUCACCCACAGAAGAAGCACCGGCUAACUCCGUGUCAGCAGCCGCGGUAAUACGGAGGGUGCGAGCGUUAAUCGGAAUUACUGGGCGUAAAGCGCGCGUAGGCGGUCUGAUAAGCCGGUUGUGAAAGCCCCGGGCUCAACCUGGGAACGGCAUCCGGAACUGUCAGGCUAGAGUGCAGGAGAGGAAGGUAGAAUUCCCGGUGUAGCGGUGAAAUGCGUAGAGAUCGGGAGGAAUACCAGUGGCGAAGGCGGCCUUCUGGACUGACACUGACGCUGAGGUGCGAAAGCGUGGGUAGCAAACAGGAUUAGAUACCCGAGUAGUC
rnacentral:rRNA from 1 species